AUAAAAAAAAAGUCCAGUACACUCGAAGAAUGACAAUGAUUGGUUUAGAACAAAAAAAGAAAAAACCCCUGGUGGAGGUGAAGUACCGUUCCCGAUGGUCGCUCCGUGGCGCCGCGGAAAUGUGCAUUGCAGAAUGGAAGACUACCCAGAGGUGGCAAUAUAUAUUAAUGAGUUUUCAGCAUUCUUCAGAGGGGUGACCACUCUUUACAGUCGUAUGCCUACAGGGGGAAUCGACGCCUGGGCGUUCAUGAAUAUCAUACGAGGGGAGAGUCAUGUGGGGGAGGGCCAGUACGGGAAUGAUCUGAUUGAAUGGUUGAAGUUUCUGAGCAAGAAAUAUCUGCGAAAUCUAAGAGGCUUCCGUGACAGGCCCGCCCCAGUUGAGCCCUCGGAGGGAGAUGAACAGGCUUUUCUGUCAGGGUUCGAGGUAUACAGGGAUCUCCUUCUACGGAGGAGAUUGCGGACUCCUAUGGAAUUUGGUGCAUUUCUCAGUCGUAGGUUAUGCGGUAGUUAAGCUGAGCUGUGGCUCCAUUUAAAUUAUGUAAUUUCUCUACAUUUGUACUUGGUUACUUCUAUAUAUAGCAUCUUUCGACGUUUACUCGGGGAUUGUUGUGUCCUUGCCAAGUCGCAAUUCCUUCAAAUUUGAUACCCUAAGAUAAACGGGAAGAAAUCGAAGAUGGCAGCAAGGUUGAGCCACGUAGCAUCACGGAUCAUGGGUGGCAACGGGCGUCGUUUCGCGUUCCGCCGCAUCCUCUCUCCGGCAGCGCUCUGGUAUGGGCCUCCCCGUCGGAAAGCACAUCGUUCCCAAUAAACCGCUUCCAGUAAAUGACGAACUUGUGUGGCAUAACGGGACUCCGUUUCCAGAACCUUGUAUCGAUCGGAUUGCCGAUGCAGUUGGGAAGUACGAAGCAUUGGAUUGGGAUUUUUUGCUUCUCUUGGGCUAUUAGUUGUGUGGAAUGACAAAGCUUCUACAAUACCAUUUUGGCAGACCUACAAUGGGGCCUGGGGUCCCAUGGAACCCCCAACUUUCGUAACCAAUACUAUUAGUUUCAUGAAUAUAAUUCUCCAUCAGCGCAAGUGGCUGACUCCUUGGUCUCCGUUUGGAGAGGUCCAGGUUCGAAACCUCCUUGGACUGUUUUAUGCUUACUUUGUCCUUUCAUUUUCACAUGCCUAAAGUGGUGUUUUAGUCUGAAAUUUAAUUUUUAUUAAUACUUCUCGUGUUUUCUCAUCUUUACCAAUACACAAGGUUUUAGAUUUAACUUCUGGCAAUUACAAAAUAUCCUUAUUUAUUAAUGAAACAUUAUUCUCUCUCUCUCUCUCUCUCUCUCUCUCUCUCUCUCUCACUUUAUCAUUUUUUUUAUUUAACUUAGAAAAUAACACUUAUAUAAAAUCUUGUGGUGAGUACUUCUCAUUUUUCAAAUAUACACAAGCUUUUAGUUUUAACUUACGCUCACUUUAUUUUUUUUUAUUUCGCACAUAAUUUGCAAUGAAAAACUGUCCUUAUUUAUUACUCCCCAUUAAAAUGGAAGUGUAAUCAUCUCUAUAUUUUUUUCUCUCUUUAUAAUUUUUUUAAUUAACUAAAAAAUACUCCAAUAACACCAUAUAAAUUCUCGUGCAAAAAAACAAGUGUUUCACAUUAGUAGGACAGAGGGAGUUAUUGUCACCAACCCUUUAUUAUUUGUACUCAUUAUUCAUCUAUAUAUGUCGUCACUUCUUGCCACUCGUAUACAACUACUUAUAGUGAAGAUAAAUAUUGAAAAAAUACUCUAUUACUGUUAAUAGUAAACUGGAUCCCCCAUAAUUGAAAUCCUGUGUCCGCCACUGCUUGUGUAGUCUUGUUUUUGGCUGUUGUUUGGAUGGAAUCUCUGAACUUUUUUAUUUGAUUUGUUGUUCUACUCCUAUAAUGAACUCUGAUAAGCAUCUUCUUCUUUGAGCCUUGGGGAACUGAUGAGUUUUCACUGGUGAGUUUUUAUAGGAAUAUGUACAAUCUGUCAACUCUGGGAAAAUGUGACAGAGCUAAGGUAGCAAACUAACAAAAUACUGAAUUACUAAAAGAAAAACUACCUCGAAGAUGCCCUUUGGAAAUUCCUGCUAUUGUAAAGGUGGCCAAUUUAGUAAUGAUCUCAAAAAUGCUUAACCGUAAUUAAAAAAUAUGACUAUUUCAAGAAAGCAUUGAGAUAGAGGCACAGGGCGCAAAACAAAGCUCGAGAUUUCUUCCCAGUUCCCAUGUUUUCUGUAGGAUUAGGUUCAUGAACUUCGUUUUUUCACUUUAAUCUGUUACUGUUUUAUAGCAGUCCAAUUUUAAAAAUUGAGGCAAAAGAAUAAAAAAUCCUUUCGCCCUUUAAAGUCUGAAAAAAUAGGAAAAUUAAAUAAACUAAAGCAUAAGUUCAAGUUGCCUUCCCUGUUUGUACCAGGUGAGGCUGUCAAAUGCUAUCUCCGUGUGCCUUGGCGCCAAGUUUUGCCUCACAAAGAUUUUUUAGACAAUGGAACAAAAAAGAUUUUUAUAUUAGUCAUGGUUUCACCUCUUGCUUAUACUUAUCAUUGUGCUCUGAUCAAGAGCUGUUAAUGUUUUGGUAUGUAUCAGGACCAGAUAUUUCUUCAGUAAUACUGGAUUAGCAUCUCAGCAUACUAGUCUUGACAUGUUAAGAGGACUUGGGUCCUUUUAUUUUCUUUUCCCACUACUUAUAAUAUUAACAAUUACGCAAUAAAGACCAAAGCACAAUGUGUAAUGUCUGUUAUGCAGGAGUCAAAACACCACCAUGUUAAUAGUGCUAUGAUGAUGAAAAAACGUUAAAGCCAGUUUAAAGUUAAUUUAGAGGGCACUUGGUCCCUCAUACAGAUGCAUUACUCUACGAGUGGAAAGUUUUAUUUUCUUCCUAAUGUUUUCUCUGGGUUCUUCACAGGCACCCAAGGUGUACCCCUAUGACAACUUAAGAGUGGAGCUCGGUGGAGAACCCUAGGUUGGUUGGUGCUCUUACAUGUCCUCGUCUUUGCUUUUAGUCCCUUACAUCGUUUGAUUUGAUCAAACGAUGUAAUUGGCUCUUGCAAACGAAGUAACUAAAAUAAGCCAGACAGACAACCGCAUCAAUUUCUGGAUCUGUAUUAUGUAUGAUACAAAUGCACUCUUCAUUUUUCUAUUAGCUGUUUUAUCUUGUUUUGUUAGUUUUAGCCGUAUAUGGAUGGCUUAUGAAGUGUGUGUGAACUAUGAAGCGAGUUUAAUCGGAGUUUGGAUUUGUGUUGUAACGGAAUGCAGGGAAACUAGAUUAAAUUUUCAUGAAAAAUAAUAGUUCAAAUUUAUUUUUGUUUGAUUUUGGAGUGAACUAUA